GCUGCUUGGAGAGAGGUUAGCCUUUGUGUGUUUGCUGAACUGGCACUGAAUAUGCCAGGGCAAGCUCUCUGCUAGGAGC
rnacentral:pre_miRNA from 13 species